GUGUGAUUCCAGCACAAGAUGGCUGAUUCUUUUUCUAUAUGCUGUAGUAAACAUGUCACACACAGUAAUGGAGAACUAGCAGAAGAUAAGCAAGACAAGCAAGACAACCUUCUUGGACCAAGAAGGAAAAAUCCGAAUGAAGCAGAACAUAACCUUACUGAAUGGCAUCUCUCUUACAGUAGAGCGUAUAAUUAGCUCAGGCAUAUUUGUAUCCCCCAAGGGAGUUCUGAUGCAUAGUUCCUCUUCUAGGCUUUCUCUGAUUAUCUGGGCCAUUGUUGGACAUUUUUUUUACUGUUUGGGGCUUUAUGUCAUGCAGAACUUGGAACCUUCAUCCAGAAGUGAGGGGCAAGCUGUGCAUACAUCUUGGAAGCAUUUGGUGGAUUUACUGCUUUCAUCUGACUUUGGUCAUCUUUAUUCCUCAUUGAACCACAGAACAGGCCACAGAGGCAAUCACAUUUACAAAACAUGUUAUUGCAUCUCUUUGGCCAAACUGUGAGCCCCCAUAUGAGGCAGGGAAAUAGAUCUUGGCUCCCUGCAUAUGCGCCUUAACAUUAGUUAAAUGCAUGAGUGUAAAGUGGGGAACCACAUACUCUCAUCUUAAUUAUAUCCAUGGGUGACCGUUUCAUUUUUAAAGAUUCCACAUAUAAGUGACAUCAGAUGGCAUUUGUCUUUCUCUGUCUGACUUACUUCACUCGGCAUAAUGCCCUCAAGGUCCAUCCAUGUUAUUGCAAAUGGCAAGAUUUUGUUCUUUUUUGUGGAUUAAUAAAUAUACUAUUGCCUAUAUAUAUAUAUACACUACAUUGUCUUUAUCCAUUCAUCCACAUCAAUGGAUACUUAGGUUCCUUCCAUGUCUUGGCUAUUGUAAAUAAUUCUGCAAUAAACAGGGUUGCAGAUUCUUUUUGAGUUAGUGUUUUUGUUUUCUUCAGCUAAAUACCCCAAAGUGGAAC
rnacentral:lncRNA from 1 species